AUUGAACGCUGGCGGCAUGCCUUACACAUGCAAGUCGAACGGCAGCACGGGAGCAAUCCUGGUGGCGAGUGGCGAACGGGUGAGUAAUAUAUCGGAACGUGCCCGGUCGUGGGGGAUAACGUAGCGAAAGCUACGCUAAUACCGCAUACGAUCUACGGAUGAAAGCGGGGGAUCGCAAGUCCUCGCGCGAUUGGAGCGGCCGAUAUCAGAUUAGGUAGUUGGUGAGGUAAAGGGCUCACCAAGCCGACGAUCUGUAGCUGGUCUGAGAGGACGACCAGCCACACUGGGACUGAGACACGGCCCAGACUCCUACGGGAGGCAGCAGUGGGGAAUUUGGACAAUGGGCGCAAGCCUGAUCCAGCAAUGCCGCGUGCAGGAUGAAGGCC
rnacentral:rRNA from 1 species